CCAUAUCUGUUUAAAGCAUCAAAAUGGAUUUUUUGCUUCUGUAAGGCAUGGACCUUGGAUAUAAGCCAGCAACCAUCAAAAUCUGCAGGAAUUUCCUAAAGCCCAUGGAAGCCAAUGGAUCGAAAGCCAGAUUUAAUAUUCUGGAUCUAUAUGGAAUUUGUGGCUUUCCAGAAUAUUAUUGCAGGUGCCACAUUGCUGCAGCUUUCCCAGGUAAUGGUUCAGGUGACCACGAGCUGAUUGUCUUCUCAUAUGCAACCCACCCCCCUCCCUCCAGCCAAAUCCUCCAGCUCCCUUGGUCUCAGAUUUGAAAUCCCAAUCUUUACUCAAAAGUCUUUGUGUAUUGGUCAACCCCAUGAGCGUGGGCAGGAGCAACACCUGGUCAGAACUGAAGGAGGAACAAACCACUAACAUUAAUUUUCACAACCAAUCCUGAUUCCGUGGGAGGAAGGUAUAUCAAGGUGGAUUUUAUCACUGGCAAAUUAACUUGAGAAUUGGUGAGGAAUGUGGAAGAGGAGCUGACAGCUCUUCCAUUACCAUUAUUGAAUGGUUUGGCUUUGCUCCUAUUACUAAAGGAAGCUAUAUCUAUAUCUAUCUAUCUAUCUAUCUAUCUAGUUUGGGGAUUUUUUUUGUCCUUUUCCUCUGGACUCAGACAAUUAAGAAGUCAGUAAAUAACAUAAAUUCAUACCAGGAGUGGCAUGUGUAUUGUUUUCUGGUUUAAACCAGUUCUUCUGUGUUUUGUCUUGCGUGCAAAAUCCUUCCUGUUUCUCAAAUGCAGGAUAAGUAGGCAGUAUAUGUCAGAAAAUAUGCAAUAAUAAAUGUUUAUCUGCAGUUUUCCAUUCCACAUGCUGAAAAUGAGAAAAGGGGGAAAAAAUAGACAUGUUAAUGAUGUCCUAUCAUUAUCAUAUUCUCUUAAACUAGCAUGGGAAGAGGAUGCAUAAUUACCUGGACAGAGACUAAGUAUACUGACUUCAGCUAUUCCUCAGCUGGAGCUGUUUUUCAGUGUGUGAGCACAAAAAGCUUUAAGGAAUAAUGCAUAAAAAUGCUAUUAUCCUUGGAAAAAGCAAUAUGCAGCUGUCUUGGCCAUUAUGUAGGUGAAAACACAAUGGGUACCAAGACUGCUGAGUACAUUUGCAUGAGAUUAGUUAAAUCAUCUGAGCAGAAUGUCCCCCGUCUGUUUCACCCCAUGCUCAGAUGCUGGGGAGCUUGGAAGAAAAAGUAGCAAAGAAGAUGCAACACCACAUGACCACUUCCAUUAUUUUUUUUUUCUGAUUAAAGAGGAGGCACAAAAAGGUGGGGAGAGACUGGCUAGUCAUGGGAAAUGCCAGUGGGGAAGUUGUGCAGCUCUGGGUUCUGUCACAGUGUGCAACCUUGGGGUAACUUGAUAAAGUGUCUGGGAUCACUUUUUUGAGCUUGAUUUAAUUUUUAACAAAAUGUCAUGACACCAAAAUUCCCACUCCAAUCCACAGCAUUCAGUAGAAGGGUCAGUUCUUCCCCUGUGAAAUGGGAAUUGUUUGAGAGGAUGACCCACUCACACUUUACCCCUUCUCUGAAAGGUUAAUAGCCUACCUGGCCAUGAGGGGCAAUUUCCUUUGUACUUGCAGCAGGAAUCUGAUCUCAGCUGGGGUGUCUGGGAAUCUCAGUGAUGCAAAUAAUACCCCCCUCCAGCAUCAACUUUAGUGCCAUUUGCCAUGUUGUGACCGCCUGGUGCCGAUAAGGUACAAUGUUACUUGCUGGAGCCAAGACAGACCCUGGCCUUUGUGGCAGAGCGCCACUGAUGGAUGAGGCCCUUUCUCUGGGCUGCAUUUGUGUGGUUCCAAGCCUUUGCAGGCAAUUUAGAGAAUAUGUCCCCAGGAUGUUGUGCUUUGGAAAACAGGCAUAGUGAUUGGAGCAUGUUAGCUCAGCUGUGGUUUUACUGGCAAUAUGGGACAUGAAAUAACACAAAGUUUUCAUUUGGCCAUAGAAAUGACUAAAUAGAAGUACUUUACCACUUAGGGAGUGUUACAUUCUUGUCAUGUCUCAGCAUUUUCAGAUACAACAGAUGAAACAAAUUAAAUUAUGCAAGCACUAAAAGAAUGCAUUGUUAGCCCCAUCUUUAACUUGCUUGAAAAUAAAUAAACAAACACAAAUAACUAGAGAACUUAUCUGAAAGAUACCAUAGGUUGGGUGGGAUUUUUGCCUUGUGCUGGUCCAUGUAACAUAUAUACAUGUGUGUGCAUCUGUAGGUGACCCUUAAGCUGUUCCUGCUGCACGUGUUGCCUGGUGGGUCUCACAGUAUAGGAGAAACCACGACUGCACAUCCCUUAUUUGCAUUCCAGUUGUAUACAGCUUUGGCAAUUUGUUUAUGCAAUUGAAUGUAUGCAAUUACCAAUAACAGAGUCCACAAUAAGUCCCAAUUAAUGUUGCCUCAGGGAUCUUUCUUUAUAUUUGUACUGGUUUCUGUAGAUUUAAGCACUCAGCAUUAAUGAUGUAUUAAUGUUGUUUUCUGUUGUCUUUUUGGUGUUUUUUUUUUUUUGGUUUUGGUUUUUUUAUUCAAUGCUAUGUUUCCAGUAUAAAAUCCACCAUUUAUUUUGUUCUCUUUGCUCAACAGGGACACUUUUUCCACUGACUCUUUAUGAGACUUCUUCAUGAGUACAAAAGCCAUUUAUCUUUAUUGGUUGUAUAUUUUGCUCGUCACCUCUCUUGCAUUUAUGAAUUAAAUAUUUAUUGAUUUUUUUCACAAAGAA